GGGUGACUGGCGCAAUGGUAGCGCAUCGGACUCUUAAUCCGCUGGUUCUGGGUUCGAGUCCCAGGUCACCCA
rnacentral:tRNA from 1 species